rnacentral:rRNA from 1 species
UCAUUACGUGAAUACAUAGCGUAAUGAAGCGAACCGGGGGAACUGAAACAUCUAAGUACCCCGAGGAAAAGAAAUCAACCGAGAUUCCCCCAGUAGCGGCGAGCGAACGGGGAGCAGCCCAGAGUCUGAAUCAGCUUGUGUGUUAGUGGAACGGUCUGGAAAGUCCGACGGUACAGGGUGAUAGUCCCGUACACCAAAAUGCACAGGUUGUGAACUCGAAGAGUAGGGCGGGACACGUGGUAUCCUGUCUGAAUAUGGGGGGACCAUCCUCCAAGGCUAAAUACUCCUGACUGACCGAUAGUGAACCAGUACCGUGAGGGAAAGGCGAAAAGAACCCCGGCGAGGGGAGUGAAAAAGAACCUGAAACCGUGU